rnacentral:rRNA from 1 species
UACGAAGGGGGCUAGCGUUGUUCGGAAUACUGGGCGUAAGCGUGCGCAGGCGGUUCUCCAAGUCAGUGGUGAAAGCCCGGAGCUCAACUCCGGAACUGCCAUUGAAACUGUAGAGCUAGAGUACGAGAGAGGUGAGUGGAAUUCCCAGUGUAGAGGUGAAAUUCGUAGAUAUUGGGAAGAACACCGGUGGCGAAGGCGGUCUGCUGGGGGUGA